UCCGUAGGUGAACCUGCGGAAGGAUCAUUACUGUUGGCUCCCCGGGGCGCCCCUGGCCCCGGGACCCUCCACCCGUGUCUACCGAACCAUUGACUGCCUCGGCCGGCCCGCUUUCGGGCUGCCGGGGCCCGUGGUCCUCCUCCCGGUUCCGGGGGCGAUGGGCGGCGGGUCCGGGCAUGCGCCGGCCGACGGCACCCUUAUGAACCCUUUGUGAAUCAGUGAGCAGUCUGAGUGGGCUUUUGGAAUAGUUAAAACUUUCAACAAUGGAUCUCUUGGUUCCCGCAUCGAUGAAGAACGCAGCGAAAUGCGAUAACUAAUGUGAAUUGCAGAAUUCCGUGAAUCAUCGAGUCUUUGAACGCACAUUGCGCCCCCCGGUAUUCCGGGGGGCAUGCCUGUCCGAGCGUCAUUGCACCCCUCAAGCACGGCUUGGUGUUGGGCGACCGUCCCCCGGGACGCGCCCCAAAUGCAUUGGCGGCGCCGGUCCUGGUGUCCGGAGCGUAUGGGAACCCCGUCACGCCCGCAGGACCCGGCCGGCGCCGGCCGCAACUGAUUGCUCUUUGUCUUCCAGGUUUGACCUCGGAUCAGGUAGGGAUACCCGCUGAACUUAAGCAUAUCAAUAAGCGGAG
rnacentral:sRNA from 1 species